rnacentral:siRNA from 1 species
GGCUUGGUACCGUCAUUUCGGC